AUGGACGAGAAAGAAAAAAAAACUGCCUCCCGAUCUAGCCCGUACGCCGCCGCCCCGUGCUCUGCUCCUCCCCGAGGUCCCGAGCGCCUCCGCCUGCUCCUCACGUCAGCGUCCCACGCCACCGCCGCCGACCUCCAGCCGUUGUCCAUUACCCUCUCCCACGCACUCUAUCUCUCUUCUUCUCCCUUCCCCCUUCCUUUUUCUCUCUCUCAAAUCUUGGUGUCGCGCUGCGCUCGGGCGCCGCAUCAGGCGGCGGCGGCGAGGUGGGAGUGGAGCACGGAGACGGGUGAGCGGAGACAAAGGAGGAGAAAAUGGAGAGGCGGGGCGGCGGCCAUGGCGGGGAGGCUACGCUCGGGGGCCGCAUCAGGCGGCGACAGUGAAGCGGGAGGUGUGCAGGAGACGAAGGACACGAGAAUGGAGGCGUCCGGGAGCGAGGACUUCGCCGGCGUCAAAGCCACUGCCAGACGGGACGCGCAGGCUUGCGAGGGGCGCAUCGCUCCUCUCCUGGCCCAAGUUGAGCAUAUGUUAGAUGGUCUGGAUGACAUGGAUGGCGCCGAGGAUGUCCCAUUUGAUGAGCUCAUAGGCAUGCAAGGCUUAGUAUUUCACUUGGUUGAGAAUGCAAUUACAAUAUGUAUUACAUACAAGUCUGAUGGAUUCAAGAGAAUGAAGAGUGAAGAAUGCUAUACUAUAAAUACGUCAACUACAGAUAACCCUCCCAACUACAAUGUUGCACCUGACAACCUCCUACUCGACGAGGCCAAGCUAUCUGCAGGGGACCAUGCCGCCGGACUUGUAACCGCAUGUGUGCUGCUAGAUGACCUUCUUGCUGCUGCAACAACAAAUGCAGCUAACCAUGUAACUGCAACUCCUGCUAACAUGCAAGCUGGAGGAGCACCGGGCAUAUUUGCUACGAUGAUGAACAAACAGGCAAAUGACUGCAGAAACAACAGCUGA
rnacentral:rRNA from 1 species